rnacentral:rRNA from 1 species
AGUCUGACCCAGCCAUGCCGCGUGGAGGAUGAAGGUCCUCUGGAUUGUAAACUUCUUUUAUUUGGGAAGAAACUCCCGAUUUCCAUCGGGAUUGACGGUACCAGAUGAAUAAGCACCGGCUAACUCCGUGCCAGCAGCCGCGGUAAUACGGAGGGUGCAAGCGUUAUCCGGAUUCACUGGGUUUAAAGGGUGCGUAGGCGGGCAGGUAAGUCAGUGGUGAAAUCUCCGGGCUUAACCCGGAAACUGCC